GGCUGAGGGAGAUACGAGAUGUAAGAAGUCUUGGCAGACGGCUUAUCAUAUACGAGGAAGAGGAAGGAGGAUGAGAGCGGAGAUUUAAAAGGGAGUUGAACAAUUGUGCAGUGCGCCAAGAAAGUUGAUAUUUCUCAACAUUGGAUCACCUGUCUUCUUUUUUCAGCGUGAUGCUGGCUUAUGUCUAAAACCAACAUGGUGGAAAAAGAAUGCUGAACAUUAAUUUCC